rnacentral:rRNA from 1 species
CGUGUAGGCGGUUGUGCAAGUCAGAGGUGAAACCCACCGGCUUAACCGGGUGGCCUGCCUUUGAAACUGCACGACUUGAGUACGGGAGAGGAGAGUGGAAUUCCUGGUGUAGCGGUGAAAUGCGUAGAUAUCAGGAAGAACACCAGUGGCGAAGGCGACUCUCUGGCCCAGUACUGACGCUGAGGCGCGAAAGCGUGGGGAGCGAACA